AUACAUAUAUAUAGAAUUGUUGGUGACAACAGAGAAAUUUGGUAGAAUUCUUUGAAAGAAGAGAACUUUGUAAAACUACGAAGGAAUGCUUGAUUGAUUUUCUACUUCUUCCACCAAUGCCAACAUACAUAUAUAUAUAUAGGUAAAUUGGGACAUUCCCCAUUACCAUUCAUUAUCCAAAAGUCAUGCAUCUAUUUAAUUAGGAACUAAUGAACCUACAUGUAUCUACACAUGUACAAGUGACCCUUCAACAUAUGUAUCUAUUCAUACAUGUAUCUACUAGUGUCUCUUCAACAUUACUAAGAACUUCGCUAUCAAACUCAGUAGCAGUACUUGUCUCCUACUGAAACGAUUCCUUUUCAAGAGGAUUUAUGGCUGUGAUUCAUCUGUGUUUAUUUGUUGGAAAGACCGGUAACACCUAUUGGCAUAGUUAACCAGCUGACAAGGAAGCAUAAUUAUAUUCUAGAGGAUCUCAAUAUUUGCUGUUCUCAAUGUCAUAUGAAAAAAUUGGCUGAUGAAAGGAAGUGAAUUGCAUGUUGUGGUAGAGGACUUGGCAUUUUUGAAGUUGCAAUCCUAUCAAUAAUGCUCCCUGUAGAAUGUUCAAAUCAGAAACUUGUGCCGUUUUUUUUGUGGCCCUUUCCUAGUUGGAGCUAAGGGAGCGUGAUUUCUUAACUAACUUUAUCCAUCUAGUAUCUGAUGUCUUCCUCCAUUCUAUCUUAGACGAUAUGAGGUUGACUCUCCGGCCCCUCAGGUCACUAUUGGAGACUUGUGGCUCUGUAUUAAAGGCAGACCUCUUUCCCUUCACCUCAACUCGAAUAUGGGAAUUGCUUGUUGAACCAAAAAAAUGUUCUUUGCAGUGCAUCUCAAUCAAAUGGGGGCAGAAAUACUAGUUAGUUAUGUGGAGAAUACUUGUAGAGGGCAUUUCGGUGCUUCUAAUCAGUGCGUCAUUGUAUCAUGUAUGUAACACUAUGGGGGUAGAUCUACAAGGGUGGGGUCGUUAGAUCUGAAAUGUAAAUAAAAGAGAUGCAGGAAGGAAUAUGUUGUAUUUGGUCGCUAAUGCGAGUGAAUGGGACCCUCUGAGUUCCUGCAUUCUCACUGCUAGAGUUUCUUCUCAGUGGUGAGCCCUUGCAUUUAUCAAGUAUAUUUUGAUUUUUAUUUUAUGGGUUUUCUUUUUUGUUUUUUCUCUGAAAUGUACAUCAGUAUGAAUGUGUCUGACAUUGCCACAGAUAAGUAGUCACCAUGCUUAUUAGCUUGUAUUGUAACUAUCUGUUAGUCUUUUAUUCGAUAUCUUGCAACAGUAAAAUACUUUUAUUUUCUGCUCUAAAUCGUAAAUAAUGAAUAUUUACAAUGAGUUAGUGG